rnacentral:lncRNA from 1 species
CCUUUCUAUUUCUCAUUCCUGCGAUGAUAUUUGUAUGCAGUUUUUAUUACACGAUUUUCUUCUUAAUCCACUCCAGUAUUGGAAUUAAAUGGGCUAUCCUGCUGAUUUGAUUUAUCAUCUUGUUGCAGUUAUUUAUUAGCAUAGGCGGGAGACACUUUUUAUUCUUUUGUCAGAACAAAGCAGUACAUCAGAGCUUUCUACAUGAUUCUUGAUGUAAGGUUUCUAUUGCACUACAACUACAAGAAUAUGAUUUUUUUAUUCAUUUUUAUUUUCCUGAAAGAUAGUAUGCAACAACAGAAAGAAGGAAUUUAUAAGAGUUAUAUUGAGAGAAAGUGAAUUUUGCCCUUUUAGUUUCCUCAGAUAAUAUAUGUUCCACUCAAUCUUCAUUUAGGUUCCCUGUUCGCUUCGUCUUCUCCUCUGCCUUCACUAACUAUUUCCCGGCAAUUCUAUCUGUUUCCCGUCUUCAACUUCUCUAAUUAAAUGCAUUGCUUCUUUACAAGGAUGAAUCAGAAAUCCAACAGUGGUUGCUCAUUGAGACUUUCAUCGUACUGUCGAUUGCUCUGCUGAUUUGGGGAUUUUUUUUUUUUUUAAAACUUGGUAUCCGGCCUCUGCUGAUUUGGGGAUUACAGUUGGGUUGAUAUUAUAUGCUUUGAAUAGUGUGGGAUCUAAGCUGCUGCUGGAGAAUCCCUUCAUGCGAGAAGCUAAUUAGGAUCUCAACAAGCAAUCUCUAUUUUGG